rnacentral:rRNA from 1 species
GAUGAACGCUAGCUACAGGCUUAACACAUGCGAGUCGAGGGGAAACGACAUCGAAAGCUUGCUUUUGAUGGGCGUCGACCGGCGCACGGGUGAGUAACGCGUAUCCAACCUGCCCACCACUUGGGGAUAACCUUGCGAAAGUAAGACUAAUACCCAAUGAUAUCCCACGAAGACAUCUGAAUGGGAUUAAAGAUUUAUCGGUGAUGGAUGGGGAUGCGUCUGAUUAGCUUGUUGGCGGGGUAACGGCCCACCAAGGCAACGAUCAGUAGGGGUUCUGAGAGGAAGGUCCCCCACAUUGGAACUGAGACACGGUCCAAACUCCUACGGGAGGCAGCAGUGAGGAAUAUUGGUCAAUGGGCGAGAGCCUGAACCAGCCAAGUAGCGUGCAGGAAGACGGCCCUAUGGGUUGUAAACUGCUUUUAUAAGGGAAUAAAGUGGGUCACGUGUGACUUUUUGCAUGUACCUUAUGAAUAAGGACCGGCUAAUUCCGUG